rnacentral:rRNA from 1 species
UCGAGAAUCUUCGGCAAUGGGCGCAAGCCCGACCGAGCGACGCCGCGUGGAGGACGAAGGCCUUCGGGUUGUAAACUCCUGUCGAGGGGAAUCAAGGGGGCGUGAAGAACGCCCCUCGAGAGCUCCCUGGAGGAAGCACGGGCUAAGUUCGUGCCAGCAGCCGCGGUAAGACGAACCGUGCGAACGUUAUUCGGAAUCAUUGGGCUUAAAGGGCGCGUAGGCGGGUCGACACGUCGGAACUGAAAUCCCCCGGCUCAACCGGGGAACGGGCUCCGAUACGGUUGGCCUCGAGGUGAGGAGGGGGACCUGGAACGUCCGGUGGAGCGGUGAAAUGCGUUGAGAUCGGACGGAACGCCGAUGGCGAAAGCAGGGUCCUGGGCUCAUAUCUGACGCUGAGGCGCGAAAGCCAGGGGAGCGAACGG